rnacentral:rRNA from 1 species
UGCCAGCAGCCGCGGUAACACGGGGGGCGCAAGCGUUAUUCGGAAUUAUUGGGCGUAAAGAGCAUGUAGGCGGACUGUUAAGUCUGAUGUGAAAUCCCGGUGCUCAACGCCGGAACUGCAUUUGAAACUGGCUAACUAGAGUCAUCAAGAGGAGAUCGGAAUUACCAGUGUAGAGGUGAAAUUCGUAGAUAUUGGUAGGAACACCAGUGGCGAAGGCGGAUCUCUGGGGAUGUACUGACGCUCAGGGUCGAAAGCAUGGGGAGCAAACAGGAUUAGAUA